rnacentral:rRNA from 1 species
AUUGAACGCUGGCGGCAGGCCUAACACAUGCAAGUCGAGCGGAGCGGCGGACGGGUGAGUAAUGCCUCGGAAUCUGCCUGGUAGUGGGGGAUAACGUCCGGAAACGGGCGAUAAUACCGCAUACUAUCGGAUUAACCCAUAUGGGAUGAGCUAGUAGGUGGGGGAACGGCUAACCGAGGCGACGAUCCCGAGCUGGUCUGAGAGGAUGACCAGCCACACUGGAACUGAGACACGGCCCAGACUCCUACUGGAGUCAGCAGUGGGGAAUCUUCCGCAAUGGAAGAAAGUCUUACGGAGCAACGCCGCGUGAGUGAUGACGGCCUUCGGGUUGUAAAGCUCUGUGAAUCGGGACGCGGUACCGGAAUAGAAAGCCACGGCUAACUACGUGCCAGCAGCCGCGGUAAUAC